rnacentral:rRNA from 1 species
CCGGCGCACGGGUGAGUAACACGUAUCCAACCUGCCGUCUACUCUUGGACAGCCUUCUGAAAGGAAGAUUAAUACAAGAUGGCAUCAUGAGUCCGCAUGUUCACAUGAUUAAAGGUAUUCCGGUAGACGAUGGGGAUGCGUUCCAUUAGAUAGUAGGCGGGGUAACGACCCACCUAGUCUUCGAUGGAUAGGGGUUCUGAGAGGAAGGUCCCCCACAUUGGAACUGAGACACGGUCCAAACUCCUACGGGAGGCAGCAUG